rnacentral:rRNA from 1 species
UGCCAGCCGCCGCGGUAAUACGGAGGGUGCAAGCGUUAAUCGGAAUUACUGGGCGUAAAGCGCGCGUAGGUGGUUCAGUCAGUCAGAUGUGAAAGCCCCGGGCUCAACCUGGGAACUGCACCUGAUACUGCUGAACUCGAGUACGGUAGAGGGUAGUGGAAUUUCCGGUGUAGCGGUGAAAUGCGUAGAUAUCGGAAGGAACAUCAGUGGCGAAGGCGGCUUUCUGGACCAAUACUGACGCUGAGGCGCGAAGGCGUGGGUAGCGAACGGGAUUAGAUA